rnacentral:tRNA from 1 species
GCAUUGGUGGUUCAGUGGUCGAAUUUUUGCCUUCUGUGCAGGAGACUCAGGUUAGAUUUCUGGCCAAUGCA